rnacentral:tRNA from 1 species
AGCCCCGUGGUGUAGUGGUCAAGCAUCGGGGACUCUGGAUCCCCUGACGGAGGUUCGAAUCCUCCCGGGGCUG